GGCCUGCGACGUUCUUUUUCGAUGCGUAUAUCAGGAAGUAUGUGAGCUUUAGCAAAAGCUCCUGUCUGACUUGGUUUCCAAUGCAUGGGCUUAUACACCUGCUCUUCUGUUUGCUCUCAUGGUCUGUCAGGUUUUCCAUUACUAAAAGCUUGUUUGUUUUUUUGGAUACUCUGACUCCAAGUUUAGAACUUCUACAUUUUACGUGACUGGGGAUGACAGGGAGAUGAAAACAAAAUCCAGCAAGAAAAGCAGUUCUGAGUUGCAGCAAAAAAUAAAAAAAUUUUAAAAUUCACUAAGUUUUUUUUCUAUUAUUAACUGUUCUUUUCCUAUUUUGGAAUAAAGUGGAACUAAAGCCUAAACUAGAUAAGGUAGUGAUUAAAGAUGCUUAUAGCAGUACAAGUAAUAUGCUCUUCAAAGAUAGGAAAUAAUUAAUUAUGUAGCUUUAGCUGUUACUUGCUGGAAAUAGAAAUGAAUUUUCAGGAAAGGCAAUUUUUUUAAUCACUCUGAAGAGAUAUUGUUUGGAGGAAGCCUUUUAUUGGAAAAACCAAUCAUGUGUUAGUAUUGUAACUAUUGUAAAAGCUAUUCAGAUUGUUUCAUCUUUAUUUUCUAUUUAUGAGCAUUUUGCUUACAUGUAUGUCUGUGCAGCAUGUGAGCAUCUGGUGCCUGCAGAUGCAGGAGAACUGGAGUGACAGGCGCUUGGGAGCUACCAUGUGUGAGCUGCCACGUGUGAGCUGCCAUGUGUGAGCUGCCAUGUGUGAGCUGCCAUGUGGUGCUGGGAAUCAAACCCAGCCUUCUGGAAGAACAGCUAGUGCUCUUAACCAGUGAGCAUUUCUCCAGCCCUUUGGACAUGUUUUUAUAAAAAAUAUUCUGUUCUUUCAGAAAUUUACUGUAGCCAGUAGUAGUCUGGUUUCCUUUUAGGUUCGCUCCAUUAGAAAUGCUGUGAAAGUUGUAUCAAGCCAUACAACUCUAAGUUAUAUUAGUCUUCCAGUAUUUAAAGAAUACAUACUUGUACAUACAGUAAUAAAAUGAAAUGAAGUGUAUCCUUAGUAGGAGUACGUCAUGGAGGAGGUGUGCUUAUGCUCUCAAGCAAGUGCUUUAUUUAUCAAUGCCUUUAUCUUCUCUAAACAAAACAAUAUAUGAUUUAAUUUUUGUUUUAAUUUCGUGUGUGCACAUGCACACAGACACACGCAUGGAGACACACACACAUGCGCGUGCACACACAGCACAUCAGAUAAGCCUAUGGAUACCACACGAGAAUGUUGGAUAGGCUGUGGCUAGAGUUCCAGUCAGUUAUGAGCCCACCUGACAUGAGUAUGGGGACUGAACUCAGGUCCUCUGGAAGGGAACAAGCAUUCUUUUCCACUGAGCCAUCUCUCCAGCCCCUGAUUUGAUGUUAGUGUUGGCUAAAAGCCUCUGGACAUCUAAAUUCCCCUCUUGCCCCCAACUUUGAAGAUAGCUCUAAAGUUCAAUAUUAUUUUUUAGUUAUGUUACUGUUGAAAAAAAUUAUUCUAAAAUUAAGGAAAGGAUUGGCCUGAUGUUAAUGAUCAAGGUAAUUUUUUAAACUUUUUAAAAUUAGAUCUUAAAUUUUUUACAUAUGUGUAAAAAUAUCUUAUUUUAUAUAGCAUACAUACAUACAUACAUACAUGUGAGUGUUUUUCCUAUGUGUAUGUAUGUGUACCAUGUGCAUGCCUGGUACUUGUGGAGGUCAGAAGAAGCCUCAGAUGCUCUGGAACUGGAGACAGAUCUUUGUGCGACUCCAUGUUGGUGCUGGAUAAGAAUGAGUGCUCUUAACUGCUGAGCAGCCUCUCCAGUCCCCAGUUGGGAGUCAUUUUACCAAAAGACAUUUUAAUUUUCCUUUGUAUAUAUUUCUGGCAGGGACUUUUUUGUAGGUAACAGUCAUACAUCUCCAUCCCUUCUUGGUCUGGCUGCUCACGUGCACAGAUGUGCAGAUAGAUAGCCAGAUGAGUAGAGAGACUACGAAGUUUUAGUAGGCAGGCAGCCCUGUACUGUGGCAUAUAAUAUCUAUGAUGUUUAAGCCUAUUUUGUAUGGCCUUGCUCAUUAUUUAGAAAUACUCACAUUCUGUUAAAAUUCAGAGUAUACUCACCCGGAAGCCAUGUCCCUAAGGUGAAUCAUUAGAGGUUGUGCAGAUUCCGUCUGAAAACCAUUUCUGAAUCAUGGGCAGGGACCUAAUUCUCUUAUCUACGAUAGAUUUGUGAACAUUAUGCUUGGGCCUUUGAAAACUGGGCUUGUAAGACUAUUAUUCAGGAUUUAAAUACACUGCCAUCUGCUGACAGUGCAUUUUUGAAAUUGUGUAUGUUUACUCAAAUUGUAGUAAGCACUUAGAGUCAUCAAUAACCAAAACAGACAAAAAUCCUGGACAUCUUGUGUACACAUAUAUUCUGUUUCCUCAUGCCUUUAUAAUAUAGAUAGAUAGAUAGAUAGAUAGAUAGAUAGAUAGGUAUGACAUGGCACCAUUGUGAAAAAUCAGAAUGGGGAAAGGGAUCAAAAAAGAAUAAGAUAAAAUUACUAGGUAGUUGCUAAACCUUUAUCAUCUGUAGCCUUAGUUCAUAGAUAUUUCUUAUGGGAAACCCUACCCCCAGCUUACUCAGAAAGAGUAAAAACAUUUUGCUAAAUAUUUCAGUUCAACUGACAGUUUGCUUGAUUUACAAAACUCUCUGCUGUAAAUGGUGGAAGGAAUGGCUAAUGUGGUCUGUGCAUAAGCAACAGCACACAGAGAGGCCUGAGAGGUGUACCACACACAGUGCCCACCUGCUGUGUCCACCGGAAGAGUAUAACCUAGUCAGAAAGGCGAACGUGACCAACCUCUGUCAGACAUUGGUGAGUGGAGGGCUGGAAGAGCUCUGCGGAUGAAGUUGUAAAUUGGUACAGUGACUUUAGGAAAAUGUUAGGGAGUUUCUUAUGAGAGUCAAUGUACAUACACUGUGCAGAAUUCAAGUUUUUAUAUUUACCCAAGAGAACAAGACAAUAGGCUUAUUUUAGGGAUUUAUUCUUCUUAUUUUCUGUGUGUGUUUUGUGUGCCUGGUGCCAGUGGAAUGCAGAGGAGGACAUCACCUACCACCUACUCAUAAACAUGAACAUUCAGAGGCAUUCUUCAGACAUCUUUUUCUCCUAAUUUCCACUUCAAAGUGUUUGUUUUACUAAUUGAGGUUUGGGGAAGGAAAAUAUAUGAACACAGUUGGUCAGGUGGGCAAAUAAAUGACCAUUUAAGAUCUAUGCAUUUGCUUUUGUUAGGGAAUAUUGAAGAAUACAUUUACUGUGAUAGACAAAGAAGGCCAAGGGUGGCUUUAGUUAAAAAUGUCAAGUUUGUAGUGAGGAGGGCUGGUUCUUAGAAUGAUACCACCAGCUGACCCCUUUACAGGUAAAGUGAUAACAUGGUUAAUUUUCAUUUGUAUUUUGCUUAAAGCAUGUGUACUAAGUUUAUGUUAGCAUUAUUCAAAUAAUAUAAUUUCAGCCAAUUUUAAAGAGGUUUUUUUCAGAGAUCCCUAUUUUAUUCAUAAUUGAAAAAUAUCUGUUGUGGAGACUAAAUUUGGGGUUCUUUAGCAUGGUUUAUAAAGUGAAUUACAACUUCCCUCUUGCCUUCUCCUAUAUAUUAAUUUACUUCUUUCUAGUAAUUUGCUAUUUUUUCAACUCAUGGCCAUUUGACAAUAUUAAGUGUUCAGUACCUGACAUACUGCUAUUUUCCUCCCCCUUUAAGGAGUUCUUUUUUUAACCUUUGCUAUUUUAUUUUUUAAGCUUUAAAUUGUAUUUCCUAGAUGUCCCAUUACUGCUUAAACUGUUGCCAGUUUUCUAAACUCCUGCUAAGAAAUGUGGCAGUUGCCAUAUUAAAGAAGGCUUAUCCUCCUUCCUGUUUAUAACAUCAUUUACAAUUUGUCUUUGUAGGUCAGUCAUAGAGUGCCUAAGGAAAUGGUUAACGGCCAAUAAUUAUUGAAAAGUUACACACGAUAGAGCAGUGUGGUAAAGU
rnacentral:lncRNA from 1 species